rnacentral:rRNA from 1 species
UCCUUAGAUGCUCUGGGCCGCACGCGCGCUACACUGGUCGAUGCAACGAGUUUCUUUCCUUGGCCGACAGGCCUGGGCAAUCUUUGAACAUCGAUCGUGAUCGGGAUAGAUUCUUGUAAUUUUUGAUCUUAAACGAGGAAUUCCUAGUAAACGCAAGUCAUCAGCUUGCAUUGAUUACGUCCCUGCCCUUUGUACACACCGCCCGUCGCACCUACCGAUUGAAUGGUCCGGUGAAAUCUCCGGACUGGCGUGAGUCGGAGCAAUCUGACAAACGCCGGAAAGUUGAUUAAACCUUACCAUUUAGAGGAAGGUGAAGUCGUAACA